UAAAAGGCUGGGCUGAGGAACAAGAAGGGCAAUGCUUGCAGCCCCUUCUGGAGUGGAAUGGUGUUACUCUGUAUGGGCAGACACCUGAAGCCUUCUGGUGUGGUAUGGUGUUACUGUGUACCGGCUGAAGCCUUCUGAAAUUUUAUGGUGACACUCUGUGUAUUGGGGCUGUCUGGACUGUGGCAUGUCCUGAGACACACACCAACAUAAAUCAAGUCCUCCCAGUGUGCACAGGGAUACACUGUCAGCAUCUCAAGAUUAUUUGACCGUGAUCUGGGAUGAGCUCAGAUGUGUGCAAGCCUUGAUUCAAAGCAGAAGGAAAAUGGCAUGCAGAUCCUUAUAAUGAAUUUUUGAAGAAACGCUCCAGGCUGUGCCUAAGUGGGAGCAACUCCUUCAAAUCUAGCUCUGAUCAUUAACUCAUGAGCACAGCAUGAUGAUGUGCUUCAGCUGGGGAUGCCUUUGGAAAUGCAGGUCUCAGAGGAAAGGACUGGUAACAGCCCUCCCAUCGAGCCACAAGAGCAGAGGAGAAGGAGAACAGAGCAUCAGGAACCAGGGCAGAAAGACCUAAAGAUGUGGUGUCUGCUUGCCCAUAGUAAGAAGUUCUUCCAAGGGGAGAUGUCUUCAGAAAAUAUGGCAUGUCCAUCCUGGGAAGGAAAACAGGGAGAAGGGGAGGUACUAUCAGAAACCAUUUCUGAAAAUUGCUGCCGAUUAGUGUGUAUUACAGCUGCCCAUCAGCUGUUCCCCUUUGAUUUGCCCUCACAGAAGCUGCCUGUAGCAGCAACGUUUGUCCCAGUGCUGCUGAGAGGAGGUGGGCACUCAUUCACCUGCUGGUGACAUGGGGUCAGCUUGUUCAGAGCCACUUCCAGCCCCACAUUUGCUUGAGCACCCGCUGAGGACACAGUGCUUGUACUCUCUAGCCCUGCUCAACCCCUUGUCAAUAAGGCAGCCCACUGCUCGUCAGUGAGUAAUGCCCACAGCCAGUGCCAUGCCACAGGGACAAUGACACUGUCCCCAGCCCCAGUGGCUCUCCCUCAUCCACUCACCCACUGUACUGUAAUUCAAGUCAGACGUGUCACAGUCAGCCACCUCCGGCUACCCUGUCCUAGCAGGCACAGUCUGUUGGAACAAUUUUAGCAAAACAGGAAGAGGAGAUAGAAACCAGUAGCUGACUAAUAAGAGAGAAGGGUGGCUUAGCUGCGAUGUGUGAGGGUGAUAGAUACCUUUUUGUAGUGCUCAAAUUAGCACCUUUCAAGAUACAGCGCAGCUGUGGCUGAAAACUCCCCUCACUCAGCCAGGCCAUGCGACUGUCCUGUCCUAUGCUGAGUGUGAACAGUGCAUGGCCCAGGAACUGCAUCUGCUUCAUGCUAUGUCAUGUUCUGAAGACUGGUGUCACUGCUAUUUUAUAGCAAUAGGCACUUUUGCAGGAGAAAAAUAUGUACAGGAAGCUCUCCAAGGUCAAUAUAACAGUCUAAAUAGCCAGAUGCUAUUUCCUUGUGAAUUACAAGGUUGAGCUGCCAAACAUCUCUUAGUUAUGUAAAUUAUGAAAAUUCUGAGAACUGCAGUGCAGACAAAAAGAUCUAUGGCUGUUGAAUCAUUUUCUCUGGUUCAGAAAUGACCAUAUCUUACCCUUUUGUUCCAUACUUUAUUUGCAUUGCAUUAUUGUGUUUCUUCCUGUCAGAUAUAGGAAUGAAGCUAACAUCUUUGCUUUAGGAUAUUGUUCUUUUAUUAUCAAAAAGGCGUUCAGCAGGCUCACAGAGAUUCUUUUCAGACAUGGAGAAAAUAAUAUGGAACCAGAACUGAGCUAUUCCUUUUAAGCUAUCUGCAGUUAAAGUGAUUAUUAAACCCCAGGACAGGUUUAAGGGUAAUCCAGAUGAAUAUUGUUUUCUUCAAAGCAAUAGUGAAGUCAUCUGCUUUUUCCUUGUUGCCUUAGGACUGACAUUAGUAAAGGCAUACCAAGUGAAAUUGGGAACUAUUUUCCUCUACUUCCUUUAAAGUUCAAUUUUUAUCAUUUACUCUUGUAGUUAUCUGAUGUAAAGAAGACUACUUCCUUUUUGAAAAAUGCCAUGGAUAAGUGUUGUUUUCCCACUUUCACUUGGGAAACAUGGUAAAAAAAUCCCAUGAGAUGAAAAUGAACUCCUUUUCCGGAACAAUAAAUAAAUAAGGGCUGUGCAGAAAACAAGCAGGAGCAAUUUGAAAUAUGUGACUGCAGAACAGAUAUGAGGAUAGCAGUGUGUUAAUGCUAUAGACCUGAGUCUCAUCUAAGAAACAGGGGGUAAAUGCUUUUUUAUUUGUGGAUAAAGUCAAAUGACAGCAGACAAAAUAUUAACGAAAAAUAUAGGGCACAACAUUUCAUGAAACAAUUUAUAAUACCAGGACUGCCCAUGUCAGGACAAAUUUGAGUGGGAAAUGCACCUAAGUUGGAAUAAUUAGGGUUAAUAGGCCCUUUGCAUUGUAAUGAAUAAUUAUUUAAUUCACAGGUCAAAGUCAGUCUCUUUGGGUUCUUCUGAUAUUUUUCUAUUUAGUAGAGUGUAAGAGGAUAAUAGCUGAAACAAGCAGCACUGCAUCUCGAGGAGGUUUGUUGUCCAUAUAAAAUCAAUCAUUAAAGUUAAUUCUACUUCAUUCACUGCUUCCCCGGUUUGAUCUUCCCAGCUGCUUCCCUGGAGAAACAACAUUCCUAUUUUUUUAUUUUUUUGCUGUUAAUCUUCCUUGGUCUUACAUGGCUUCUUGCAGUGGUGCUGUCAGCAAGAUGAUGUCUAGUCCCAAUUAGAAAUUCAAUCAAUAUUCACAUAAUGAGGGUUCUAGCAAAACCAUGUCAUUUAGUUCAAAGACAUGGAUAUAUUACUGUAGCAAUUCAGGAUUCAAGUAAUUUAGGGCACCUCAGUGAAAAAAGAUAAAAUAAUGCUGAAGGGCUUAGAGGUAGUUAAUUGUUACUAUGGCAACUUCCUAAAUAAGCUUUAGAUUCUAGUCAUUUUUCAGUUUAUUUGGAGGCAGAACAGAAUCAUUAAAGAUGAAACUUAUUUAAAGCUCAGAACAGUUAUGGGAUCUUAUAGUUUCCUUGCUGUUCCUUAUAGAGUUACUUAAAGUUUGUCCACCUCAACUUUGAACUAUGUACAAGAGCAAGAUGCAGCCUGCAUAGAUUAAAAAAAAAAGCCAGCAUGUUAUGUAACAAUGAUCUAAUUUAGUAACUUGGGUAAUUGUGUUUUUACAUGUUCUUUGUCCCAGCAGAACUCUUUAAAAAGUAUUGUGUAGGAAAGAAGUGGUCCUCAGCAAAGAAUGCUCUCACCUGUCCAUAAAAUGGUGUUAUUAAGAUCUGAUUUUCAACAAUGGGCACUGAUGGUGAGGGCACAUUUGUUCCUUCCUUCCACAAACCCCCAAGUGUAGAAUAGCAGGGGGAUGCAUUUUGGCCUGGUCCUUAGCCAGUGCUGUAACAAAUGUGAUGAUAAGGACCCAGGGAAAGGCUGCCAUAUCAAAAUCUUGCCAUGCUGACUGUCCAUUUGUGUUCUUAAUGUGAAUGAAUACAUUUGGCCUCUGUGGGGCUGCAUCACUGGGCAGAUCCAAAGAGCCUUCUACAGGCAGCAUGGAGACAGCAGAGAGACAACAGAGCUCAGAAAACUCUCAGUCCCUGGACAUUAGUUAGGUGGAGAUCCAGAUCACCUAAACUUUUUGCAUGAUCUCAGCAGCUAUAACUCACCUCCUUAUCCACUCCAGAGCGCGUGACAAACCAGCCGAGGCCGUGAAAUAAAAUCGUGUCUCAGUAGGAGACACCCCCUGGCUUCUCACAGAAGUAAAUUCAUACCUCAGACCUGUUCUCACUCUUCUGGAGGCUGGAAAUCUCUGAAGCCACUGAGUCAUAACUGCAAAGUUGUCAGGGAGUGAUGCCUUAGGUGUGAAGAUACAUAGAAGACUCCCCUGGAGGUGAAGGUAUAAGCAGUGCAGACUAAAGUGAUGUGUUCUUCUAAAACAAAAAAGCAGGACAGGUUACCUGGCUGUGAGCUCAGUGCUGCAAGGGUGAGCAGCAGCUGCUUGCAGGCAUCUUUAAGCCAACCUUAAGGAGAUGAACUGAGCAGGAUGGGGAAACUGAGCAACACCGGUUGCUCAAGAGGAGGUAAAGGAGGGCUAGAAGAGUGACAGACUGUUUUAUAUGUAGCUGAUAUGUCAAGAUGACACUGUCAUAAGAUAAUUC